GAAUAUCAACAGCAACCCAAGUAUUGCAAGUCUCGCCAUGCGUUACAAAGUUGGUGUAGUCUUCAUCUUCAUCGUCCUCGAUCACAACAGUUGAGCGUUGUUCAUUACCAUGAAUGAACCCUCCACUACGAAAACUAGGUUGUACAUCUUCGGCUUUGACAUUGAACGAUCCUGGUUGAAAACCCAAUCCGACCCUAUUCUUG
rnacentral:lncRNA from 1 species